rnacentral:rRNA from 1 species
UACGUAGGGGGCAAGCGUUGGCCGGAUUUAUUGGGCGGAAAGAGCUCGUAGGCGGUCUGUCGCGUCUGCUGUGAAAACUCAGGGCUUAACCCUGAGCUUGCAGUGGGUACGGGCAGACUAGAGUGCGGUAGGGGAGACUGGAAUUCCUGGUGUAGCGGUGAAAUGCGCAGAUAUCAGGAGGAACACCGGUGGCGAAGGCGGGUCUCUGGGCCGUAACUGACGCUGAGGAGCGAAAGCAUGGGGAGCGAACAGG